GCUAAAGAAAGAGGUACAAUAUGAUAUACUCUAACUACUAAACAUUAAGGUCUUCAGUUGACAUUACAUUCAAAAAAUAAAAUUUUGACUUUUGGCUUGUGAUGUUAAAUUAGGACUUUUGAAAAUUACAAGUUGAGACAUUUGAUCUUUCAAAACUCUUAAGUUAAGACAUUUUUUCCUGUCUAUCUGAUCCAUAGAUCUCCAUAAAUGACCAAAACCAUGAAAAAUAAAAAUAUAUCGGCAAUAACUUCUUGAGUCUCAUUUUAAGACUUUUCGUUUUUCAAAGCUCUUUAUUUGAGACUUUGGAAGGCUCCCACUCCAAAUAUAACAAUAAAAUUCCCCCUCUUAAAAGGUCUGUUGAAAAGAAAUUGAAAUAAAUGAAAAAUUAUUUUUGUCUUCCUUUAAUCGCAAGAAGAUAUCGAUAAAGUGUCAGGGGGUGAGCCAGCCGUUGACUCAUUUGGCAUAAAAAAUACUGAGAUGGAAAUUCGAGGAUUUUUACUCAUUGUGACUUUGUUCGAAGAAAACACAUCAGAUAACAAAAAAAAAAAAUUUUCCGGCACAAUUAUAUGGAAAAAAGAAGGAUAUCGUCAGCACAACGCACAUCUCCGGAAAUUCCAAGAAGUUUCGUCAGACUCGUGAUGACUAAUAGUAAGGAAAUUCAAGGUAAAAUGGACACAAGGCUCCCCAACAAUGUCGACGGUUCGUUUUUACACACAAAAAUAGAGACAUCAUAAACGUGAAAAAACAAUAGCAGUCUUUUUCAGAAAUUGUUUCCAGUAAUCAUCAUUUGUGUUAAUACAUACUCAUUACCCAUUAUUGCAGACAUUAAAAAUUACGCAAGAAAAUUGUGGAACAUUUUAAACAGUGCGUAAAUCAUCUCGAAAGCUAUCUAAUGAGUUAAGUACAAUGUAGGUGUGCUUUCUGUCGACGGUUAAUUUUAAAAUUGCCGACACUACAAAGGCGAACAAUCAAUGUUUUCCAAAUUUGGUGCAUAUCUAGAAAGCAAAUCUAUAUGAAGUAUUUCAACAUGUUUACACGAUCUUAACGCGUAAAUAAAUGAAAAACAAUGAAAAUACCGGUGUGGAUAUUAAUAAAUAGUUUACCUAUCAAACUUGUCAUUAACGUAAAAGAGACCAAUUAUUUUUCUUUUAAUUUAAAAAAUCGCCUGUUUUCCCAGCUCGCAGGAGAAUAAUAGUGACAGGACUUUAAUCAUCGAUUUUCAAAAUUUCAUCGAUUAUCUAAUUUGAUACUCUGAAUUACAUACGUAUGUAUUCAGGUAUAUUAAAUGAAAUUUAAUUUGAAGAACUGAAUUCCCGCUGAAAUUUCGAUAGUUCUCAGUCCAGAUUUUUUAAUGUCUUAAAUUUAGACUCUCAAGCCAAUCUUCAAAUUGUUUAAAUAACAUUUUUUAACAAAGUAAGAACAGAAAUAAUGAAUAACUAAGAUCUUUGCCAUGACCUGCCGAAAAAAAGAACGUUUAAGACUCUUUUCUUAGCCUCUCAUGAAAAAAAUUGAAAUCAAUUUUGAAGAUGUUAUUGAUCAGCUGUUAACUGAUUCAACACAGAAUACCACUUAUAAUGUUAUUGGGAAGAGGCAAUAAAAAAAAUCAUUGACAAGUAAAACAAAGGAAUGAAGAUAAAAUGACCAAUGUUUACGUACUUGAAUCGUUUAUCUUGGCCAUCGGGAUUGUUAUCAAAGCUUGUAUCACGGUAAACAAUCGAGUCCGCCCAAGCGCAGCCAACUGGAAAGGUAUCUCCAACCACAGCCCAUUGGGGUUCUCCAAAAAACGCCAUCACCUAAGUAAAAAAUUGCUGAUUUAUAGUCUUACUUGGUGAAUUUGUCUGGACAAAUAUUACGUAUAUUUAUGCAGGUAGGAUAGGAGGUAGGUAUGAAUUAUUACCUUUCCAAGGUCAUGAAUGAGACCGGUGAGAUGGAACCAGUCCAAAUCUGGAUGCGCCUUGCGGAUGGACUCAGCGGUCUGGAAGGCGUGAAAAAUAUUUGGCAUCGAUGUAUCGGGAUCACUCUCGUCCACGAGGUCAUUCAACUUAUUCAGGGCCUCUUUGAUGGUCAUCCUGAACUUAUCAAACUUCAACCAGUAAUCCAUUCGAGCUACAAUCAGGAUUUACAACUAUUUUAUUAGCGAAGCGAUUAACAAGGUCAAGUCGAUUUUGAUUAUUGGCCCGUUUUUUACCAAUAUCGUGAAAUUUAAAGGAGAUCAUGAAUGUUUUGUCUCAAUCUUUUUUCUAGACAAAUUUGAAGAUUGCAAAAAGAUUAUGACAAAAAUUUUCUGAGAUAUUCAUGAAAACUGGGCAAGGGUCCAAAUCGGCUUUCUCAGUUUAUCGAUUCUACUCAGAUUUAUUGUAAUGGAAAUGCUGGAAAUCGUCACUCAUUCCCGUUCUCAUUUAUUGCCGGGUUAUCUACUAGGUUCAAUCUCAGAUUCUUUCUAACAAAUAAAUUUAGCAAAAAAAUUUCUCCAGAUUUUCCUUUGGAUUCUAUUUAAAUUCAAGUUAAUUGUCGCCAAAAAUUUUAUCGGUUUUUGAGCAGCUUAUAUAUUUAAUUUUUUAUAUAGGAACAUUCUCUUGGAUUUUUUCGAUAAAAUCAUCUGAACAAUAUUUUUUGAAGUUUUUCACAUUAGGACUGUUAUGUUAGAAAAUGUGAAGCGAAAAAUUUGGGCAAAAAACCGAUAUCCAUUGAAUUCUGGACCACAUGUUAACAGCGUAUUCUUGCUCUAGAUGAUUGUAUUAAAGAUCGAUAGACAUCAUGGUUUCAGCUUCACCAAUCCUCAACAGGAUAUUUCUUUCUUCUUCUGUCAGUCAUCAGUAAGAUGUUGUUUUGCUCGCAAAUUGUGUCACGCCAUAUUUCACUUGUAUAUUAUUUAUUGUAUUGCGCGCAAAGCAACAUCACUAUUAGGAAACCACAAUAUCUUAUCAUAGUUUUCCUCUUUUAUGGUUUCUGACGUUCCAUAAUACAUUUUAUUUUCUUCUUGACGUAUAUUAAAAUAAAUCUACCCUUCAACGCGAAAGAAAAUCCGAUCAAAUUGUUUUUCACAGUUUGUCAUCUUUUAAUCAAUAGAAACUAUUACAAUGAUGAAACCAAAUAUAUUCGACAAGGAUUAUCGUUUAUGGAAUUAAGGGUGUGAUAAAAAAUCUUAUAAGCUAUAUUUGAUCUAGUUCUAUAUGAGACUCAAUCAGAGUGUUCAUUUGGGGCUCAUUUGGUCCAAAGUUGUUGGACAUUUAAGGUUUGCUUUAUUUUUUAAACUCUGUAAUUCUCAAUUUGCAUUUCGCUGGAACAAACUUUUAGGGGAAGUAGUAAAACAAAAUCAUUUUUUUAUUAUUUGUUUGCAACAUGUACAAUAUCAUUAGUCCCACUUCCAGGCAAAAAUAGACAGAUGAUUCACUACAAACAAUGAGUUUCGAUGAAAAUGUACUUACCUCGUUUUACCCUUUCACUGCGGAGUCAAGUUUACUUUUGGAGAAAGAUUUAUAGGAUAAUUGAAGGAAUAUAAACUUGGAAAAAUUACGAGCAUUUUCUAUAAAUAAUCUGCAAGGAAUUUGAUCUUAGUGAUGAAACACAUUUGCUUGAUUUUUCCGAGGAAGCUCAGACAUUUUUCAUCAUUUAUUUAAGAACAAACGCUUGUGGAAGAAAUAAUAAUUCUAUGUGAAAUAUAAGUUGAACAUAUGGAUAUGCUUUGCGAAAUAAAAUUGUUUUGCGAAUAAAAUUCGAUAACUAAACAUGUGAACGUCACGUGAAAAAUAGAUCAAGUAUAAGUCAGCAGAUUUGUUUUUUACCACAGUCUAAAUUCCGCAGAUAAUAUUUUCUGUUGAAGGUAUUCGAUUUCAUAGUUAUAGUAGUUUCUAGAGUUUAAAAGAUAAAAAAUUCUCACGUUGAGAUUGCAACUCAAGUAAAACAAUAUUUUUUUUCUCCACAUGCGCCAUAUACCCAAAAAGAUAAUCCCCGUCAACACUUUUACUUUUUUUCUUUUAAAAAUUUUAUGAGCAAGAAUAUGCAUUGACAAAGCUUGUGUGUACAAUAUCAUAUAUAUCGUUGACGCAAAACAAAAUAAGAAUUGUAAAAAGUAUUGCGAUUUUUAUUUACGAAGUUUAAACUGUCAUAACUAGUUUUUUUCAAUAGUCAUCCAUCCUCAAACGAAAAUAUGCUCUUAACAUGUACUGUCAGCUUUGCUUAUGCAAGUUACCGGAAUUUGGCUUCGUAAUGAUUAAAACAUGUGAUUUUAAUGUUUCAUUAUUAUGAAAAUAUGGGCUACUGGAAUAAAUAACGCGUUAAAACCGCAUUAUUUUGAAAAACCAAAAUAAUUACUAAAUUGAGAAAAAGUUGUAAUUUCCAAUGUAAUCAAGUUUCUGAGAUUAUUCCUCGCUAUGUAACAAUAACAACAAUACCAAGAACAUAUCUAGUACCUCAUCAUAAAGAUCUCAGGUCAAUUAUUAGACUGGAAACAAAGGGGACCACCGAAAGACUAUUAUGAAUUUUUCAGGUUCGUUAUAUUCAAGUGAACCCUUCAGACAUAAUCUCAGCAUCAGACAAAAUUACCAAUUGAAGAAUAAAUCUAAUUGGAAUGAAAUUAUUACAAGUUCGGUUGUGACCCAACCAAGAUGGGUUCAUGAUUUAAAUUAAUUGAAUUCUCGAUUACGAAUAUAAAUUAGUAACGCGAAUAAAUUUGAUGAACUUGAUGAAUGGUAGCUCAACAUAACAACAUAAUGACAUUUGGUUCAUUACUUUAUUUUAAAAAGUGCGAAAAAAUCAUGGUACGAAUCCACUGCUGAAUUCCGUCUUAUUUUGACAUCUGUUGAUGCAAAUGUCACAUGAGUCACUGAAUAUGAUUUACAUAAUUCAGCAUUAAGAUAGUAGAGUGUGAAGGAUGAAACCGGGUGCGUAGAAAAUGAUGAUAUUUAAUGACUCAUAUGUUUUUUGUUACACAAAUGUAGAAAGAAAAA